GUUUUUAGGGCAGUUUAUUAAAGAAGACCUGACAUGGAUAUGAUUCCCAAUGAGAAACGACUGCUAAUACUUAUAUAAAUUCAUUACAGAAGGACCCUACCAGACUAUAUUUGAAUACGGCAUACCCAUGAAUUCUAGAACUGUUAUUCCUUAACCCAGUUUGGAGGAUAAGAGCUUACCAACUAGUUAUAAAUAUGCUGAGGUGAUGUAUUGCAAAAUAGCCAACAUACAACAAUUAAAGGAUAAUUGCAGACUACAUCCUGAUGAAGAUACGGAUGACCCUCUGUCUGGUCAACAGGAGUUUAAAUAUGGACGGGACAGUGAUGUGGCAGCUCUUCCCUGGCUCAUUCACCUCUUGCCUUCAUUUGUGAAAGGAGGAAAGACUGGAGAGGGUCAAUGUGCAACUGAAGCUACUGAUUGUGCUGUGUGAUGAGCAUCAAUCCAUGCUUUGAGGGGGAUGGAUCAGCACAGCCCUGCCUGCUCUGCGUUGGGAACAGAAGUUGCAUCCAGAAUUUUUGCAUCAUUCUGGACCAAAAAGCCAUUCCCUCCAUGAUGAAGACCACUGAUGCAGCCUUCCACUACAUCAUGAGUAAAACAACUACAGAACUAAAUACCAGGUUGGAACGUAUUUAAG